AUUGAACGCUGGCGGCAUGCUUUACACAUGCAAGUCGAACGGCAGCACGGGGGCAACCCUGGUGGCGAGUGGCGAACGGGUGAGUAAUAUAUCGGAACGUACCCGGAAAUGGGGGAUAACGUAGCGAAAGUUACGCUAAUACCGCAUAUGCCCUAGGGGGGAAAGCGGGGGAUUCGCAAGAACCUCGCGUUUUCGGAGCGGCCGAUAUCGGAUUAGCUAGUAGGUGAGGUAAAGGCUCACCUAGGCGACGAUCCGUAGCUGGUCUGAGAGGACGACCAGCCACACUGGAACUGAGACACGGUCCAGACUCCUACGGGAGGCAGCAGUGGGGAAUUUUGGACAAUGGGCGCAAGCCUGAUCCAGCCAUGCCGCGUGAGUGAAGAAGGCC
rnacentral:rRNA from 1 species